rnacentral:rRNA from 1 species
GGCGUACGGGUGAGUAACGCGUAGUGUAUCUACCACAAGUGUUUGGAAUACGGCCGAAAGGCUGGCUAAUACUGGAUAGAGCGACGGGAUCCGUAAUUGGGUCUUUCGGGAAAGGGAGGCAGCAAUGCCCCUCGCACUUUGAUGAGCCUGACGUCUCAUUAGCUAGUUGGUGGGGUAACGGCCCACCAAGGCAUUGAUGAGUAGCUGGUCUGAGAGGAUGAUCAGCCACAAUGGAACUGAAACACGGUCCAGACUCCUACGGGAGGCAGCAGUGGGGAAUCUUGCGCAAUGGACGAAAGUCUGACGCAGCCACGCCGCGUGAGUGAAGAAGGCCUUCGGGUUGUAAAGCUCUGUCGCGCGGGACGAACAUCCAUUGGGUUAACAGCCCAGUGGACUGACGGUACCGCGAAAGGAAGCACCGGCUAACUCUGUGCCAGCAGCCGCGGUAAUACAGAGGGUGCAAGCUGUUGCUCGGAAUCAUUGGGCGUAAAGGGUAGGUAGGUGGUCUCAUUUGUCUGGGGUGAAAGCCUCGAGCUUAACUCGAGAAGUGCCCCGGA